UACGGGGGGGGCAAGCGUUGUUCGGAAUUACUGGGCGUAAAGGGCUCGUAGGCGGCCAACUAAGUCAGACGUGAAAUCCCUCGGCUUAACCGGGGAACUGCAUCUGAUACUGGAUGGCUUGAGUUCGGGAGAGGGAUGCGGAAUUCCAGGUGUAGCGGUGAAAUGCGUAGAUAUCUGGAGGAACACCGGUGGCGAAGGCGGCAUCCUGGACCGACACUGACGCUGAGGAGCGAAAGCCAGGGGAGCGAAUGGG
rnacentral:rRNA from 1 species